rnacentral:rRNA from 1 species
GAGAUUGAGUUUGAUCCUGGCUCAGAGUGAACGCUGGCGGCAGGCCUAACACAUGCAAGUCGAGCGGCAGCACAGCAGUAGCAAUACUGUGGGUGGCGAGCGGCGGACGGGUGAGGAAUACAUCGGAAUCUACCUUCUUGUGGGGGAUAACGUAGGGAAACUUACGCUAAUACCGCAUAAGACCUGAGGGUGAAAGCGGGGGACCGCAAGGCCCCGCGCGAGAAGAUGAGCCGAUGUCCGAUUAGCUAGUUGGUGAGGUAAAGGCUCACCAAGGCGACGAUCGGUAGCUGGUCUGAGAGGAUGAUCAGCCACACUGGAACUGAGACACGGUCCAGACUCCUACGGGAGGCAGCAGUGGGGAAUAUUGGACAAUGGGCGCAAGCCUGAUCCAGCCAUGCCGCGUGUGUGAAGAAGGCCUUCGGGUUGUAAAGCACUUUUGUUGGGGAAGAAAAGACCGUGGUUAAUAACCGUGGUUCAUGACGGUACCCAAAGAAUAAGCACCGGCUAACUUCGUGCCAGCAGCCGCGGUAAUACGAAGGGUGCAAGCGUUACUCGGAAUUACUGGGCGUAAAGCGUGCGUAGGCGGUUUGUUAAGUCUGUCGUGAAAGCCCCGGGCUCAACCUGGGAAUGGCGGUGGAUACUGGCAGGCUAGAGUACGGUAGAGGAUGGUGGAAUUCCCGGUGUAGCAGUGAAAUGCGUGGAGAUCGGGAGGAACAUCUA